rnacentral:lncRNA from 1 species
CCUGCAGCUUAUGGAGGUUCCCAGGCUAGGGGUCAAAUCAGAGCUGUAACCGCCGGCCUACACCACAGCCACAGCAACAUCAGAUCAAAGCCACAUCUGUGACCUACACCACAGCCACAGCAACGCCAGAUCCUCAACCCACUGAGCGAGGCCAGGGAUCGAACCCGCAACCUCAUGGUUCCCAGUCGGAUUCGUUUCUGCUGCACCACAACGGGAACUGAAACUCCCCUUUCUUGAAACACUUCCAUUCCCUCAGCCUAUUAAAAUCCCGCCGCCCAGGCUUUCAGAAUAAGCUCAAGUUUUACCGCUUCCCCGAACAAUCCUUUGUUCGCUCCGGCCCUCUCGGAACCUUCCCUGUGGACUCCUACCGCAGCCAGCAUCUGACCCAGACCAGGCAGCCUUUCACGGCAGGUCUUAGGAAGGGACCGUUCCUGCUGUAAAAGAAACAUCGUAUGGUAUUUGCCACUUAGAUCCGGAAUCGAAUACAUGGCGGCGCAGAGGAACUUUCCACAGAAAAGAAAAUCACGGGCUCGGAGAAUAGACUGGUGGUCGCCAAGGGGGAGGGGAAGGGAGUGGGAGUGACUGGGAGGGACUGGGAGCGACUGGGAGCUUGGGGUUAGUGGAUGCAGAAUGUGGCCUUCGGGAUGGAUGAGCAAUGGGCUCCCGCUGUGUAGCCCUGGGAACUCUGUCUAGUCACUUAUGACGGAGCAUGAGAAUGGGAGAAAAAAGAAGGUAGCCAUGUAUAUGUAACUGGGUCACCAUGCUGUACAGUAAAAAAAAUACAUCUACAAAGAAAUAAAGAAUAAAAUAAAGUAAAAUAAGAUCAAAAAGAAACGGUCUGUGCUUGUUUAAAUACGUGGGGAUUGCUGUAAGGACACAGGGGGAUUUCCUGGAACCCAGCUGUAGGAUGGCUGGUGAACCCUCAACGGCUUUGAAAGGUUACGGUUUGUAGACAGGAAUACUUACUCCUCGUGUUUCAAUACGAUGGGCGUAUCCCGGCCUCUCUCCCUACCCCUCAAUCAAUCUCAAUUAACUGGUGCAUUUGGUUUUUUGUUUUGCUUUGUUUUUAUUUUUGUCUUUUUUUUUUUGCUUUUUCUAGGGCCGCACCCACGGCAUAUGGAGGUUCCCAGGCUAGGGGUCUAAUCAGAGCUAUAGCCACUGGCCUACACCACAGCCACAGCAACUCGGGAUCCAAGACGCGUCUGCAACCUAUACCACAGCUCACGGCAACGCUGGAUCCUUAACCCACUGAGCAAGGGCAGGGACCGAACCCACAACCUCAUGGUUCCUAGUCGGAUUCGUUAACCACUGCACCACGACGGGAACUCCUAACUGUGUAGCCUCUUGCUCUCUUUUUGGGGGGAAGGGGCUCUGGGUAGGGCGCAUUCAAGGACAGCUGCCCAGGGCAGGAAGGGGAACAGCACUGCCGUUUUCCAGCUUUACCUGGACUAGGUGGUAAGUUUAUUUUGGGGGUGAAGCUAGAGACCCCCUUGCUCCUGGAGGGUUGAAAUUGUUCUCCAAACACUUUAACCAGUGUUAAAGGUGAUGCUUUUAUCUCCAUCUGCCGUACUUAUCUGUCCCUUAAUUGGUUCCCGCUCAGGAGAGAAAGGGGUAUUGUCGCUGGUCACUCUAAAAUCUUAACGAUAAGCAGCUCUUCUCUAUCUGGAGCUGUGUACUUAUCAGCCUUGCUGCACAUCCACUCCGACUCUCGACUCUCGCAUUCUGAAAACGAAUUUCUUUUUAACUUGGGCUUCUGGCUCCUCAUUAACUUAGACAUUGAUGUGCACCUGGUUGUUAACGUAAGGAAAAGAGUCUGCAUAUUUUCCCCAAAAUGUAUUCUCUCUUCUUCUUUGGUAACAGAACACACAAAUUUAGCUGAGCACAUGGAAACCCAGAGUAAAAGAUGCAUGGGCCACGUAGGUGUGGUCACGUGAUUCUGUUCUGUCCAAGGGGACUUACGUAGAGGGACUGUGUGCCGCUUCUGGGAGACAGCUUAAAGGGGAGAGAGUUUGCUGAUUGAAACUGAUUGGAAAGCAGUUCUAAUGGCUGGAGAUGGGGCAGCCACUUUGGACCGUGAGGAAGAAGACACGGAAGGCGAACACCGGCUCACGGGCUCGGGACAGCAGACGGUCGAACAGUCAGGAAUUUUGCAGACUAGUGAUGAAACCACUGGGAACCUGAAAUCGGCCGUGGUGGGACUAUUUCCAGUCUAGGAAUCAGCAUUUGGUACAAAUCAAGCCUCCCUCCCUUCCCUACUCGCUCCCCAUCUCUCCUUCCUCCCAAGCCCCAGUCACUGAAGAUGUGUUUGCCAGCUUACCACUAGAUAGAAGCACAUGCUGAGGAUGGCAGAGCAGCAGAACAAAAGAAGCCUGAGUCCCUAAUGGCAAUGAAAUAGCUUUGCCAUGGGAGCCCUGGGCGCUAUGUUUAUGGGAGGGAAACCGAGAGAGUCUCUCUUGCUAAGGUGUUGUCAUCUUUGCUUUCUUCCCCUCGAAGCCAAACCCACUGGGGCACCAGACCUAACUCACCAUCACCUAUCAUUUUGGGGUCAUUUAGGAAACUAAUAGAAUCCACUUCAGCUUAGAUCAGUUUUCUUCAUCCCUGGAACAGUCUUUGGGAGAGAGGGGUGUGGGUUCCACGGUGCCAACCUGACCACCUAAACUCACCCUUUCAGCAGGGCUAUUGGUUUAUAUCUGAGAAGAGGAAGUAUGAAUGGAGCCGGCACUGCAAACUAGUUACCUAUACUCUCAUUGGCUACAUUACCACAUGGUAAACUCAUUAUUCCACAUAGCAUCUCUUCCUGUUAAGGCUAUUUGUCUGAAGUACUUUCCAAAAGCACUUGAGAAACAAGUCUUUCCAGGUCUUCCUCUUAACUGACAGACCCCACGUUUUCCUCCGUGCCCCGAGUGUGACAGGCACACCGCACACUCAGCACCGAGAGUGCUACCAAGCCACCCUGAGUUAAGCAUCUUGUUUAUUCCAAUGUGGCCUCUCUCCAUUUAAUCUGUGCUCUGGCAAAUGGUUCUGAUCGGUAACACCUGAGAAAAGCUGUUCCAGUGACAAUGCUGCACCUGCCAAAAGGAACAAGAAGCACAGGAGACCUUCAAAGGCCUGCUUUACUGCAGCUCCAGGCACCUUCGAGGAGACAGACAAUAAAGUUCCUUGGUCAAGAAGAGACUCAGAAGUGCUCUGACUUCAUGAAAAUCCUUCUCAACACUACUGCAUCUGUAGCAGGUUGAUCAACCAUCGAGUGAAUAUGUAGCUUAGAGGAAGAUACAGCUGGGGGCACAUCAGAACUUGAGGAAAUCUGAAUCGACUGGAAAAGCUACUGCCAAUCAACCAGGUAGAAAUGCAUUUCCAGUGGACCUGGCUCUAGUGGCUGCAAUGAAUAAUGCUGACUCAGUUAGGGUGCCCAAGUUCAAGAGUAAUACCGUGCCUCUACUGUUUAAAAUGUCUAUGUAUGUGUGUGUGUUUCAUGGGUGGGAGGAUAUUACAUCUCUAACCAGAUGAUAAACUCCAGGAGGAUAUGGAGAGAAAAAGAUCAAGAAGACAAGAUCCCAGACCUGUUUGAGAAACAGACUGGUGACGAGAAUUUGACAAAAUGGUGUGAAAGUGCCGUGAGAGAGCAGCUGCUGGGGACUGUGCUCUUGGCCGACGCCAGGACCUACGCUGCUCCAGGAAUAGCUAAUACCCAUGAAGAUGUGGGUUCAAUUCCUGCCUCACUCUCUGGUUAAGGAUCUGGUGUUGCCAUGAGCUGCAGUGUAGAUCAUGGCGGCAGCUCGGAUCCAGCAUUGCUGUGGCUGCGGUGUAGGCCAGCAACUGCAGCUUGGAUUCAAACCCUAGCCCAGGAGCUUCCAUGUGCUGCACAUGCAGCUGGAAAAAAAACAAAAACCAAAACCAAAACCACAAAAACAAACGAACAACAAACAAACACCACGUCUUUUUUGAAGAGUGAGAUUGGGUAUUUGGUGGUGAGAAAAACAAAAUAAUUGGAAAGAAAGAUUCUGGGAGGACUUAAGGCUAUUCAAGAAUCCCCUCCCCAAUUCUUCAUCCCUCAAACCUACUUUCUUGCACAGAAGCCUCAGGCACAGCUCGAGAACCACAUCUGCCUUAUUCUACCCCGUCUCGCUUCAGGAUUAAUGUUACUCGGUGUCCUUGCGGAUCCCGCUCCGCCCUCCAGGGGUCAGGUCAGCUUCCUGACCUUCGCUGUGAGCCAACAGCACUGGAUUUUUUUUUUUUUCAAUUACCAAGACCCAGGUCCCAGGUCCAGACUGAUUGGCUUUAGAAUGACGCCAGAGCCGAGGACAGGGAUGUCACCACAUAGCAAACGUCUGUCUCCCACUUCAUGUCAAGACCUGUGGAGGAAGGCCUGCAGGUACCAACAAAAUUCCACCCCACAUUCCCCGUCUGGGGAACUUAGGGAUGGGGGGACGGAGGCCUUCGAGCAGGAACUGGAGACGGUCAACAUGUUAGCAGAGGCGCUUCUUUGGUAACAGAGGAGGGUGAGACACAGACAGGGUGGCCUCUUGGAGGAGAGAGUCCUGAAGGGGGGCCGCCAUCUGCCCACCAGCUCCCCCUACGGACAAGGUGGGUGUGGAAUCGGGACCCUCGCAGGAUAAGAAUGAGCUGAGCUGGUGCUUCCCGCCCUUACCGCCCAGGUGAGGUUCGGAGGCUGGCUCUGGUCUGAACGGAGGCAGAGCGUUGAGACUGGAGGAGGGAGCCAGAGAGAUGCUGCAGCUGAGAGAAGGUGCUAGAAGGUGGGCUGCAUUGCCCUCUUGGGAGCAGCAAGAAGACGAGCUUCCCCUUGGCUCUGACGGACUCCAAGGACGGAGGCCGGGCUUCAGCCGCCUCGCUUUCCCCUGAUGCGAUGGGUACCACGGUCGAAAGAGGACAUGGCACCUGAGGGAGGGCUCCACCCGGAGCGUGGCCAGGGGCGGCCUUGCCACCCCUGAGGCACCAGCACAUGCGCCCCCAGAGAGACACUGCUCUCAGACGCUUCUGCGUGGGACGCUCAGUGUCGGCCAGAUGAGCAGCCACCGCCUACGGAGAGGAGACGCGGGCACAGGACCUCGCUGGAAGCAGACCAGCCAGAGGGGUCACUGCCAGCUUCAGCUCCUACAUCAGAGGGCACCACAGCCAAGGGCGCGGGGGUGGGAGGGGCCUGGCUUCCUGAGGGGUGGGCACGAGCAGGAGGCGGCCUCUGAACAGAAAAUGAUUUUGAAACUACAACGAACACUCCCGAGUCUUGAGAUUUCAGCGACACUGAAGAAAGUGGGAGAAUCGGGCCGAGACGCCGUCAAGCGCGUCCAAGCCCGCAGGCGGAGAGUUUGGGGAGGACGCAGCAGCGAUUACGGGGAAAAGGAAAUCCUUGCACGUCUACACCCCGACACGAGGACAGGCUCACAGAACCGGCCACACAGGCUAGUCUGUGCACCUCGAGUGUGAGGGACGUGUUGCCCGUCCCAAGGGACACGGUCAUGUGUCCCGGGAAGAUGUUGAUGGAGACGGAAGCGACCCAGGGUGAUGCCGCCACGUGGCUGCAGUGUUUGCGGGGAGCAGUAAGUUUUCCUCAAGAGCCAGAUACGCCUCAGGAUCAUGGGUAAAUCCUGAUUCCAAACCGGAGCCUCCUGUGACACCGUCAACCACAUCAUGGGAUCCGCGUGAGACUCCGAGAGUCACGAAAGCGGGUGGGGGCGGGGGCUGACCGGUACCCUCGUAAGGAGGAGCGUUCCAUGCAAAACGCUCAUGACCAAGUGAAAAGGGAGUGUGACGAGAGAGCCAGCCCAGGGACUGCGGUGACAGGUCUGAAUCAAACGCCCAGCAUGGUCCGCUUCCUUUCCUGGGAUGAAGUAAGACGCCGGGAAGGUCCAGGGUGAAGCAAACCCAGGGCCAGGGCCCUGCACCCCAGCCCUGAAAACACGGAUGGCAGCACACUUGCCUCCCCGUGUUUACCGACUCUGCUGAAUCCAACUAAACCAACACAGCAACCCACCUCUCAAGACGAAGAGCCACGGUAACUCUGAGUAUCUACAGCCGGCCACACGAUCCCUUGGCCCCAGGCCUCUCUGUUCCCGGGUCAGCGGGCAGGCAAGGACUCGAAGAGCAGACCGGCUUCAGAACCCGAUCCUCGGCCCGAGGGCCUUGUGAUCCGAGGUGUUUGCGAAGCCCCCCCACCCCCCUCUGGGCCCACACUUUCCUUCCGUGGGCCCGAAAAGCAGCUCCUGAGAUGCUCCGCAUGCCUGUCCUGCCCUAAGGGCUGCAACAGCCCUACACAUUCCUCCCACAGGCAGCCGGGGAGCUCGCAGGGCCAGCGCCCUUCCGUGUGCCCUGCACAGCCCCAGUGUUUGAAAGGAUGACAGGCCCAAAAAAAGAACCCAGGAGAAGAGCGGAGGGUGCCAGAGAGGCCGCUUGGUCUCAGGAGCCUUUGCAGGGGCUGGGGGCCACCCCCACCCUCAGCCCCCCAGCAUAGAGAAGGACUUACCUCGAAAGGGAAUGCAGGCCAGAAGCAGCAGGGGCAAAGCUUCGGCGGCUAGAAAGGAACCCGGGGCCCUGGUCCAAAUACGCAGUCAAGAUUUGUCACUAGCAUCCCUUGCUGGAAAGCUGGGGCAAGGGGUUUGCCCCGAGGCCCAAACUGGACCUCAGUCGGC